rnacentral:rRNA from 1 species
GGACGAACGCUGGCGGCGUGCCUAACACAUGCAAGUCGAGCGAGGAGAUCCUUCGGGAUGAUCCUAGCGGCGGACGGGUGAGUAACACGUGGGCAACCUGCCUCAUAGAGAGGAAUAGCCUUCCGAAAGGGAGAUUAAUACCUCAUAACAUUGCAGUUUCGCAUGGAACAGCAAUUAAAGGAGUAAUCCGCUAUGAGAUGGGCCCGCGGCGCAUUAGCUAGUUGGUGAGGUAAUGGCUCACCAAGGCGACGAUGCGUAGCCGACCUGAGAGGGUGAUCGGCCACAUUGGGACUGAGACACGGCCCAGACUCCUACGGGAGGCAGCAGUGGGGAAUAUUGCACAAUGGGGGAAACCCUGAUGCAAGCAACGCCGCGUGAGUGAUGACGGCCUUCGGGUUGUAAAGCUCUGUCUUCAGGGACGAUAAUGACGGUACCUGAGGAGGAAGCCACGGCUAACUACGUGCCAGCCGCUGC